rnacentral:rRNA from 1 species
UACGUAGGGGGCCAGCGUUGCUCGGAAUUACUGGGCGUAAAGGGUUCGUAGGUGGUGUGGCAAGUUGGAAGUGAAAUCUCUGGGCUUAACCCAGAGGCUGCUUUCAAAACUGCCGUGCUCGAGUGCGGGAGAGGCCAGUGGAAUUGCAGGUGUAGCGGUGAAAUGCGUAGAUAUCUGCAGGAACACCCGUGGCGAAGGCGGCUGGCUGGACCGCAACUGACACUGAGGCACGAAAGCGUGGGGAUCAAACAGG